UGCAAGUCGAACGGCGUCCCUCGGGGCGCAGUGGCGCACGGGUGCGUAACGCGUAUGCAACCUACCUUGAACUGGGGGAUAGCCCGGAGAAAUCCGGAUUAAUACCGCAUAACACCAUGUGAGGGCAUCUGAGUAUGGUUAAAGAUUCAUUGGUUCAAGAUGGGCAUGCGUGCCAUUAGCUAGUUGGUGGUGUAACGGACCACCAAGGCUACGAUGGCUAGGGGUUCUGAGAGGACGGUCCCCCACACUGGCACUGAGAUACGGGCCAGACUCCUACGGGAGGCAGCAGUAGGGAAUAUUGGGCAAUGGGCGGAAGCCUGACCCAGCCAUGCCGCGUGCAGGAUGAAGGCCUUCUGGGUUGUAAACUGCUUUUAUCAGGGAAGAAAACACCCAUGCGUGGGGAACUGACGGUACCUGAGGAAUAAGCACCGGCUAACUCCGUGCCAGCAGCCGCGGUAAUACGGAGGGUGCAAGCGUUGUCCGGAUUUAUUGGGUUUAAAGGGUGCGUAGGCGGCCCAUUAAGUCAGUGGUGAAAGCCCGGGGCUCAACCCCGGAACCGCCAUUGAUACUGGUGGGCUUGAGUAUGGACGAGGUUGGCGGAAUUGAGGGUGUAGCGGUGAAAUGCUUAGAUACCCUCAAGAACACCGAUUGCGUAGGC
rnacentral:rRNA from 1 species